rnacentral:rRNA from 1 species
UGCAGUCGACGGUAGGUCUCUUCGGAGAUACACGAGUGGCGGACGGGUGAGGAACACGUACACAAUCUACCUUAUACUGGAGAAUAGCCCUGGGAAACUGGGAUUAAUACUCCAUAGUCUUUAAUGAUUACAUGAGAAAUAAAGUAAAGCUUCGGCGGUAUAAGAUGAGUGUGCGUCCCAUUAGAUAGUUGGUGAGGUAACGGCUCACCAAGUCUACGAUGGGUAGCUGGCGUGAGAGCGCGACCAGCCACACUGGCACUGAGACACGGGCCAGACUCCUACGGGAGGCAGCAGUAGGGAAUAUUGGUCAAUGGACGCAAGUCUGAACCAGCCAUGCCGCGUGCAGGAAGACGGCCCUAUGGGUUGUAAACUGCUUUUAUAUAGGAAGAAACUUCUCUACGUGUAGAGAACUGACGGUACUAUAUGAAUAAGGACCGGCUAACUCCGUGCCAGCAGCCGCGGUAAUACG